rnacentral:rRNA from 1 species
AGAGUUUGAUCAUGGCUCAGAUUGAACGCUGGCGGUAGGCUUAACACAUGCAAGUCGUGCGAGAAAGUAUCUUCGGAUACGAGUAGAGCGGCGGACGGGUGAGUAACGCGUAGGAAUCUACCUAGUAGAAGGGGAUAGCCCGGGGAAACUCGGAUUAAUACCGUAUACCUCCUUUGGGAGAAAGAGGGCCUCUCUUUGAAGCUUUCGCUACUAGAUGAGCCUGCGUAAGAUUAGCUUGUUGGUGAGGUAACUGCUCACCAAGGCUACGAUCUUUAGCUGGUCUGAGAGGACGAUCAGCCACAUUGGGACUGAGACACGGCCCAGACUCCUACGGGAGGCAGCAGUGGGGAAUAUUGGACAAUGGGCGCAAGCCUGAUCCAGCCAUAUCGCGUGUGUGAAGAAGGCCUUCGGGUUGUAAAGCACUUUAAGCAGGGAGAAAAAGUUGUAAGUUAAUACCUUACAACCGUGAUGUUACCUGCAGAAUAAGCACCGGCUAAUUCCGUGCCAGCAGCCGCGGUAAUACGGAAGGUGCAAGCGUUAAUCGGAAUUACUGGGCGUAAAGCGCGCGU